rnacentral:lncRNA from 1 species
AUGGCUGGUGCUUCCUGGACUGAGUUUACGUGUGCGCAAUGCCUGUUGGCAUUCCUGCCACUGUUACACAGGUUCAUGCCUGCCCCCUCCGUGCAGCCUUUCUGCCUGGCUCACCUGCCCAGGGUGAGGACCCCUAGGCUGCUGCUCUCCAGCUGGAGUCUGAGGACCCGCGCAAACAGAAGCACUCUGUGGGGUGAGUUCUCCCAAGGAAGCAGCGCAGCCAGGACAUUCUUCAGGGAGGUGUGCAGCUCACAGCCCACACCCAGUGCUCUGUUUCCAAACACCACUCCAAGUGGCUACUCACAAGUGGAAGCAGCUGAACGGGCAUCUGAGGGGACUGUCCAGGACGGCCUCAGGAGCAACAGCUGAGUCAGAAGACCACCAGCACGCCCAGAGGAAGAGGAACACAGCCUGUCUGCUCCGCAGCAACCCUGGCCUGCAGACUCAGCGCUCAGAAGUCAGUGUUACUACACAUCCACCCGUCCUUACUCUUCCGCAUCUCCAGCGGUGUUUUAGGAAUAGUAGUCUCUCUACUACAAAUUAGCACAAGUUUAAAACAAUGAACAAUAACUUCUCCCUUUAUUACUUAUCUCUUUUAGGGCAACUGAUGAUCUUUUGAUUACCGCCAUUGGAGUCCAUUUUGAUAAUCUUCAAAAGAAUCUUUGCUGUUUUCCUGGUCAACUCCAGGCUUUCAGAACUGCUAACAUGGGGUGUGCCCUGCUUACCGCGCUCCCUGACACCCCGGUCCUCCUGCCAUACCUGCCAUGCUGUGGUGCACCCUGUGGGAGGCUUUUCUCCUGACGUUAUCCGGUCCUACUCUCUAUGAAGGCUGUGAACUGCCUUCUGCACUCAUUCUUUUGGGUGAUUCAUUUAUUUCCUUCUGAGAAAUUCUGCAUUCAUUUGGCAUCAGCAAAAUAGCAGACACUUUGCAGCCAGCCACAUGAUGGAUAGUUCUGCAGCUAAUGACAUGUCUUCCUGAAGCGGGAGACAUAUUACGUUGUUGGGAGGCACGGUCUCCAGGGAAAUUGCCACUCUGCGGAGGGCAGUUAAUAAAUACGAGCACAGCGCUGCUUCUGCCAUGAAGUUAACACCCCUUUCAGCCACCUGCUGAUGAAUUCCCAUUGGGUGGACACCCCGGGAAGCACUGGAAAGGGAACUUUGCUUCAAUUGUUCCAGGAAGCCUGAUAAGAUUGCCAUUUCCUAUUGCACUGUCAUGACGAACUUACAGGGAUAGCAUCCCGGAUGCAGGUGUCCAGGUCAAAGGAAAUAAAAGGGAAGUUCAAAAGCACUCCGCCCACGGUUGCUGAUCUUCUAUCUUUAUUACCAUGUCACAGGAAGUUUCUGUAUGAGUAUGCUGGGAAUUAGGCAAAACCAAAAUUGCAUGUCAGGCAAAUGAAAGAGGCUAUAAAAAGAAAGGGAAAAAAAGUCCCUCCCAAAAGAACAGAAAGCACUUACUUUCUUUUUUCUUUUUUUUCCCGGUACCGGGAAUCGAACUCAUAACCUUGCGCUUGCCAAGCAGGUGCUGUGCCACUGAGCUAAAUCCCCAGCCGCAUGCACUUACUUUCAUAAUACUGUUUUGUACUCUUAAAAUUUUAUGAAGAGGACAAAUCUUACAAGUUUGUGUUAAAUGACCUUAGCACUCAAAAUGGAGCCUGGAGAGAACUUCAAGGGUUGGCAGACCUAUUUGCUUCCGUGACUGUAGUGACAGUUCUGUGGAUGUAUACAUACAUCUAAACUCCUCUAAUGUGUUCAGUUUUUAUGCCAAGCAUAUCUGAGUGAAGUUACUGUUUUAAAAAAGUGUUUAGAAAUACAGAAGCACAUUUUUGCAGUAGCAGAGACUGACCCAGGGCUUUUGCAUGGAGCUACACACCCAGGUUUUUCGAAACAAGCACUUGUUAAGUUGUUGAUUUACCUGAGGCCUCCUCCCUCAGCCUCCCAGGGGUUACAGGUGUGUGCCACCAUGGCCAGCUCACAGCGUCACGUUAGGCAUCACUUUUAUGUUGAAUUAAUUUCAAACUUAACGAAAGGUCCAAAGAACAGUGCAGUGUUCCUGUGUACCUGUUAGCAUGGACACUUUAAAGGCUGGCCUUAGGCAUGCCCUUGUGUUAUGGUUGAUACAUUGUGUCAACUUGGGGAGUCUAGAGGUUUGGCUAAGUGACUCAGCAGGAAGCCA